AGAAUCAUAUCCAAAGGGGCAUUUAGGUGACACAGUUGCAGAUUCUCCAGACUCUUGUUUAGCCUUGUUCUCCUGGCCAUAUCCAAAGGGGCAUUGAGGUGACACAACUGCAGAUUCUCCAGACGCUUCUUUAGGCUUGCUCUCCUGGCCAUAUCCAAAGGGGCAUUUAGGUGACACAAUUGCAGAUUCCCUAGACUCUUGCUUAGGCUUGCUCUCCUGACUAGCCGGCUGUUUAUUUUGGUUUUCACCAGGCUUCUUAGUAGAAGUG
rnacentral:lncRNA from 1 species